GAGUUUGAUCAUGGCUCAGAUUGAACGCUGGCGGCAGGCCUAACACAUGCAAGUCGAGCGGCAGCACGGGUACUUGUACCUGGUGGCGAGCGGCGGACGGGUGAGUAAUGCCUAGGAAUCUGCCUGGUAGUGGGGGAUAACGCUCGGAAACGGACGCUAAUACCGCAUACGUCCUACGGGAGAAAGCAGGGGACCUUCGGGCCUUGCGCUAUCAGAUGAGCCUAGGUCGGAUUAGCUAGUUGGUGAGGUAAUGGCUCACCAAGGCGACGAUCCGUAACUGGUCUGAGAGGAUGAUCAGUCACACUGGAACUGAGACACGGUCCAGACUCCUACGGGAGGCAGCAGUGGGGAAUAUUGGACAAUGGGCGAAAGCCUGAUCCAGCCAUGCCGCGUGUGUGAAGAAGGUCUUCGGAUUGUAAAGCACUUUAAGUUGGGAGGAAGGGCAUUUACCUAAUACGUAAGUGUUUUGACGUUACUGACAGAAUAAGCACCGGCUAAUACUGUG
rnacentral:rRNA from 2 species